rnacentral:rRNA from 1 species
AACACAUGCAAGUCGAACGGUAACAGGAAGCAGCUUGCUGCUUUGCUGACGAGUGGCGGACGGGUGAGUAAUGUCUGGGAAACUGCCUGAUGGAGGGGGAUAACUACUGGAAACGGUGGCUAAUACCGCAUAACGUCGCAAGACCAAAGAGGGGGACCUUCGGGCCUCUUGCCAUCAGAUGUGCCCAGAUGGGAUUAGCUUGUUGGUGAGGUAACGGCUCACCAAGGCGACGAUCCCUAGCUGGUCUGAGAGGAUGACCAGCCACACUGGAACUGAGACACGGUCCAGACUCCUACGGGAGGCAGCAGUGGGGAAUAUUGCACAAUGGGCGCAAGCCUGAUGCAGCCAUGCCGCGUGUAUGAAGAAGGCCUUCGGGUUGUAAAGUACUUUCAGCGGGGAGGAAGGUGUUGUGGUUAAUAACCGCAGCAAUUGACGUUACCCGCAGAAGAAGCACCGGCUAACUCCGUGCCAGCAGCCGCGGUAAUACGGAGGGUGCAAGCGUUAAUCGGAAUUACUGGGCGUAAAGCGCACGCAGGCGGUCUGUCAAGUCGGAUGUGAAAUCCCCGGGCUCAACCUGGGAACUGCAUUCGAAACUGGCAGGCUUGAGUCUUGUAGAGGGGGGUAGAAUUCCAGGUGUAGCGGUGAAAUGCGUAGAGAUCUGGAGGAAUACCGGUGGCGAAGGCGGCCCCCUGGACAAAGACUGACGCUCAGGUGCGAAAGCGUGGGGAGCAAACAGGAUUAGAUACCCUGGUAGUCCACGCCGUAAACGAUGUCUACUUGGAGGUUGUGCCCUUGAGGCGUGGCUUCCGGAGCUAACGCGUUAAGUAGACCGCCUGGGGAGUACGGCCGCAAGGUUAAAACUCAAAUGAAUUGACGGGGGCCCGCACAAGCGGUGGAGCAUGUGGUUUAAUUCGAUGCAACGCGAAGAACCUUACCUGGUCUUGACAUCCACAGAAGAAUCCAGAGAUGGAUUUGUGCCUUCGGGAACUGUGAGACAGGUGCUGCAUGGCUGUCGUCAGCUCGUGUUGUGAAAUGUUGGGUUAAGUCCCGCAACGAGCGCAACCCUUAUCCUUUGUUGCCAGCGGUCCGGCCGGGAACUCAAAGGAGACUGCCAGUGAUAAACUGGAGGAAGGUGGGGAUGACGUCAAGUCAUCAUGGCCCUUACGACCAGGGCUACACACGUGCUACAAUGGCGCAUACAAAGAGAAGCGACCUCGCGAGAGCAAGCGGACCUCAUAAAGUGCGUCGUAGUCCGGAUUGGAGUCUGCAACUCGACUCCAUGAAGUCGGAAUCGCUAGUAAUCGUGGAUCAGAAUGCCACGGUGAAUACGUUCCCGGGCCUUGUACACACCGCCCGUCACACCAUGGGAGUGGGUUGCAAAAGAAGUAGGUAGCUUAACCUUCGGGAGGGCGCUUACCACUUUGUGAUUCAUGACUGGGGUGAAGUCGUAACAAGGUAACCGUAGGGGAACCUGCGGUUG